rnacentral:tRNA from 1 species
GGAGGAGUGGCAGAGUGGUCGAAUGCACCGGUCUUGAAAACCGGCGUGCGCGAAAGCGUACCGUGGGUUCGAAUCCCACCUCCUCCGCCA